AGCAGCCGCGGUAAUUCCAGCUCCAAUAGCGUAUAUUAAAGUUGUUGCAGUUAAAAAGCUCGUAGUUGAAUUUCGGGGUUCUACCGUCGGUCGGGCUACCAAGUCUGUACUGGUGUGUAGAAUUUCUACUUUCUGGGGAACCAUCAUGUUAUUAAUUUGGCGUGGUGGGAAACCAGGACCUUUACCUUGAAAAAAUUAGAGUGUUCAAAGCAGGCUUACGUCUGAAUACAUUAGCAUGGAAUAAUAGAAUAGGACGGUGGUCCUGUUUUGUUGGUUUCUGAAUCACCGUAAUGAUUAAUAGGGAUAGUUGGGGGCAUUAGUAUUCAAUUGUCAGAGGUGAAAUUCUUGGAUUUAUUGAAGACUAACUUCUGCGAAAGCAUUUGCCAAGGAUGUUUUCAUUAAUCAAGAACGAAAGUUAGGGGAUCGAAGACGAUCAGAUACCGUCGUAGUCUUAACCAUAAACUAUGCCGACUAGGGAUCGGACGAUGUUAACCUUUAUUGACUCGUUCGGCGCCUUACG
rnacentral:rRNA from 1 species